rnacentral:misc_RNA from 1 species
AAUUCUCAACCUUACUAGCUUUUGCGAGCUAUGUAAUGGCUUGGAUGUGGGGGUCUUUUGCUGGCUUCGGAAGAAAUCAGCUCCCCUGAAAUGCAUUAGCCGGUGCCCCGCGUGGACUGUCUAUUGGUGUGAUAAUUAUCUACGCCGUUAGUCGUCUGCUUUAAAUGGGAUGCGCUGCUUCUAAUCGUCCUCUAAGGACAAUUAUUGACC